CACGAAUUUGAUCCUUCUCUAUAUAUAGACUAUACAAUAAAUUAUAGUGCGGGGGCCUAAAUUUUGCAGCCCUUCACCGGCAAUGGUGAUGUCUCCAUAUGAGUGAAGUAUUCUCGAGAGGGAAGUAAAACAUAGCGCAGAUUUCAAUUCACUGCGAUGAUUUACAUGGAUGUCGUUAGACGAAAAUAUCGAGAUUAAAGGUGUGUUUCUUAAUUAGAUCUUAGGAGUGGGCAGUUUUAUCUGUAAGGGUGUACAAUAUAAAUAACAAACACUGAGCUCUUCGCGAUCGCAGCGACAGGAAUGUAACCCAAUUUUGGCAAAACAGAACACGCGGCCUGGUAUGAUUUAACUAAAUAUGACAGUGGAAAUGUCCCACCUGAUUUCUGGAACGACCACGGUAAAUAACGUUGACAAUUUAGAUUUAUGAAACAUCACAAUGUGUAAUAUACAUAAUAUAUUUUUGAAAAUACAUAUUUCUAGACUGUCCUGACUACAAUUUUAUUUCUACAUGAUCAUCACAUGUUACAUAAAUGUGGGGGAAAAUACUCGUCUUAUGAUUCUUCUUUUAUUUUAUUUUUUAUUUUUGUAGAUUAAGCUUGAUGAAUCCUACAACCUGUUAAUAGAUGCGAGCAAGAUUACCAGGCGGCGCCGGACUUGGACUUGUUGCUGCAUUAUUUUACUCCGACAUAUCUGGCAGCACACUCGACAGCAAAUAGAAUACUAUACUGCUAAUUCAAGAAUACUUACAAAAGCAGUUCAAAUGUGAUAAUGCC